rnacentral:lncRNA from 1 species
UGUAAACAGAAAUCUAGAAGAUGGGGGGAUGGAAGUGAAGUGGAAUGUAAAAACGUCUGCCAGUGCCCCAUGGUCUCCAACCCACUUUCAGAUGCACCGUCUCAUUUCAACAGAUAUAGAUGGAAUUUCUUCUCUCUGUUACUCAAGCCUCUCAAAGUCCUUAUUGUCCCAGCCUCUGCGUGAAACGUCUUCAGCCAUCAAUGACAUCUCACUCCUUCAAGCCCUUAUGCCACUGCUGGGAUGGACCAGUCACUGGACCUGCAUUACAGUGGGCUUAUAUUGACCUUUACCUCUACACUUGUAUAUAACUCGUUUUCCCAUUUAGUUGCAAGACACUUGGAAGCACAGACCAAGGCUUACAUUUGUGUUUUAAUGUUUUUCUCAUAAAUGCUUUAUGCCUAAAUGUUUCCGUACUACUCUUCUUUCCAAAUCCUUAUUGUUUAAAAGUUUCUCUCCUACUAUGCCAUGCCUUAUAAAUAUUGAUUGAAUGAAUGGAUGAAAUGCAUACCUG